UACAGAGACUGCGAGCGUUAUUCGGAAUCACUGGGCGUAAAGGGUGCGUAGGCGGGUCUUUAAGUCAGGGGUGAAAUCCUGGAGCUCAACUCCAGAACUGCCUUUGAUACUGAGGAUCUUGAGUACGGGAGAGGUGAGUGGAACUGCGAGUGUAGAGGUGAAAUUCGUAGAUAUUCGCAAGAACACCAGUGGCGAAGGCGGCUCACUGGCCCGGUACUGACGCUGAGGCACGAAAGCGUGGGGAGCAAACAGG
rnacentral:rRNA from 1 species